UACGUAGGGUGCAAGCGUUGUCCGGAAUUAUUGGGCGUAAAGAGCUCGUAGGCGGUCUGUCACGUCGGCUGUGAAAUCCCGAGGCUCAACCUCGGGUCUGCAGUCGAUACGGGCAAACUAGAGUAUUGCAGGGGAGACUGGAAUUCCUGGUGUAGCGGUGAAAUGCGCAGAUAUCAGGAGGAACACCGGUGGCGAAGGCGGGUCUCUGGGCAAUAACUGACGCUGAGGACGAAAGCGUGGGGAGCAAACAGG
rnacentral:rRNA from 1 species